rnacentral:lncRNA from 1 species
GUGAUUCAGUGUUUGUUUUUACUGGUAUUGUUGGUUUUGGAAUAUUUUCUCUCCGUAAAUUCUUUUGCCAUCUUUUCUCUCUCUAGAUUGCAUUUGGCUUACGUGAUCAUAGCAUACUCGAAUAAGUCAUUUGUUUAAUCUUUUGUAGAGAAAAAUUAAAGAGAUAGAGAUGCUAGAAGAAUCAUCAAAAGAAUAGGAAGAGAGAGAAAAGAAGUUUAAAGUUAUUGCAGAAGAGUUAUCUUGAUUUAGAAUACGCCUCAAUCCUCAAUAUUAGGUUCUCUUUACGCCUCAUUAUUAGGCUCUCUUUCUAGAGUAGGAACAAGUUGUAUAGUUAUUUUCUCUCCUUAUAAUAUCAAGUUGUUGAUACAGUACAUACUUGAGCCCACGGUCAAGUAACAGAAAAUAAGGCAAAUAAUUCUUCUCUCUAUUUUCUAAUAAAAUUAAUAAUAAUAAUAAUUUGUAAAGACUGUCCAAAAAUUUUCUUCUACUCUAUGCAAGGUAGCUGAGCAUCUAAAUUUGCUUAUUGUUAUUUUUUUUUUUACUGAUCAUGGACGGCUGAAAAUCAAGCAGCUGGCAUCUUCUUUCUUCCAUCUUUUUGUUGCUGAAAAUUAGUGCAUAUUUUUUUUAUUAUUGAGUCUUAUUAU